GGAUUGUGGCUCAGUGGUAGAGCGCUCACCCAGAACGUGCGAGACCCUGGGUUCGAUUCUCUGUACCA
rnacentral:tRNA from 1 species